AUUUAGAAUAUGUUACUUAUUUGGAUGGGAUAAAUAUUUAAUUCAAUUGAUAAAUUUAAAAUCCUCUGCCGUCCCAUCCUCCAGUGUGCGUA